GGACUUCAUGGAGCAGGAGCCCGUGGGUUGCCCAGCUUCUCCUGUGCCUUGCAAGGCAGUGCUUGCACUUGAGCAUUUGAGCAAGAUCAAGCCGUCCCUGACGCGGGAGGAAAACUGCCAUCUGCUUCGCCAGUGCUCGCAAGGCCUAAUUGCCCUGCCUCCCCUUGAGCCGAGCAGAGAGGAAGGGGAGGCAGCAAAGGAUGCUCAGCAUGGGCAGUCUCUCUAUAGACAAUCCCUGGGAGCUCUCAGUCGGCUCAUGACAACUCUUGAGGAAGACCUGACCUCCUCCUGGCUCCAGGAAACCUU